GAUGAAGAACGCAGCGAAAUGCGAUAAGUAAUGUGAAUUGCAGAAUUCAGUGAAUCAUCGAAUCUUUGAACGCAUCUUGCGCUCCUUGGUAUUCUGAGGAGCAUGCCUGUUUGAGUGUCAUUAAAUUCUCAACUACACUGACUUUGAAUUGGUGUGGCUUGGAUUUGGGAGGAAAAUUGUUGUGGGCUUUUUGUAUAGUCUGCUCCCCUGAAAUUGAUUAGCGGUACCUUUGUGGAACUGUCUACAGGUGUGAUAAUUAUCUACAUCUUAGACAUCUGCUGGAAUGCUGCUUUCUAAACCUUACUUGUAUUGACAAUCUUGACCUCAAAUCAGGUAGGACUACCCGCUGAACUUAAGCAUAUCAAUAAGCGGAGGA
rnacentral:misc_RNA from 1 species